AUUGAACGCUGGCGGCAUGCUUUACACAUGCAAGUCGAACGGCAGCGCGGGCUUCGGCCUGGCGGCGAGUGGCGAACGGGUGAGUAAUACAUCGGAACGUGCCCAGUAGUGGGGGAUAGCUCGGCGAAAGCCGGAUUAAUACCGCAUACGACCUGAGGGUGAAAGCGGGGGAUCUUCGGACCUCGCGCUAUAGGAGCGGCCGAUGGCAGAUUAGCUAGUUGGUGGGGUAAAGGCCUACCAAGGCGACGAUCUGUAGCUGGUCUGAGAGGACGACCAGCCACACUGGGACUGAGACACGGCCCAGACUCCUACGGGAGGCAGCAGUGGGGAAUUUUGGACAAUGGGCGAAAGCCUGAUCCAGCAAUGCCGCGUGUGUGAUGAAGGCCUUCGGGUUGUAAAGCACUUUUGGCGGGAACGAAAAGGACUGUGCCAAUACCACGGUUCGAUGACGGUACCCGCAGAAUAAGCACCGGCUAACUACGUG
rnacentral:rRNA from 1 species